rnacentral:rRNA from 1 species
CUACGUGCCAGCAGCCGCGGUAAUACGUAUGUCACAAGCGUUAUCCGGAUUUAUUGGGCGUAAAGCGCGUCUAGGUGGUUAUGUAAGUCUGAUGUGAAAAUGCAGGGCUCAACUCUGUAUUGCGUUGGAAACUGCAUGACUAGAGUACUGGAGAGGUAAGCGGAACUACAAGUGUAGAGGUGAAAUUCGUAGAUAUUUGUAGGAAUGCCGAUGGGGAAGCCAGCUUACUGGACAGAUACUACGCUGAAGCGCGAAAGCGUGGGUAGCAAACAGGAUUAGAUACCCUGGUAGUCCACGCCGUAAACGAUGAUUACUAGGUGUUGGGGGUCGAACCUCAGCGCCCAAGCAAACGCGAUAAGUAAUCCGCCUGGGGAGUACGUACGCAAGUAUGAAACUCAAAGGAAUUGACGGGGACCCGCACAAGCGGUGGAGCAUGUGGUUUAAUUCGACGCAACGCGAGGAACCUUACCAGCGUUUGACAUC